rnacentral:rRNA from 1 species
AUUAGUGGCGGACGGGUGAGUAACACGUGGGAACGUGCCCUUUGGUUCGGAACAACUCAGGGAAACUUGAGCUAAUACCGGAUGUGCCCUUCGGGGGAAAGAUUUAUCGCCAUUGGAGCGGCCCGCGUCUGAUUAGCUAGUUGGUGAGGUAAAGGCUCACCAAGGCGACGAUCAGUAGCUGGUCUGAGAGGAUGAUCAGCCACAUUGGGACUGAGACACGGCCCAAACUCCUACGGGAGGCAGCAGUGGGGAAUCUUGCGCAAUGGGCGAAAGCCUGACGCAGCCAUGCCGCGUGAAUGAUGAAGGUCUUAGGAUUGUAAAAUUCUUUCACCGGGGACGAUAAUGACGGUACCCGGAGAAGAAGCCCCGGCUAACUUCGUGCCAGCAGCCGCGGUAAUACGAAGGGGGCUAGCGUUGCUCGGAAUUACUGGGCGUAAAGGGAGCGUAGGCGGACUGUUUAGUCAGAGGUGAAAGCCCAGGGCUCAACCUUGGAAUUGCCUUUGAUACUGGCAGUCUUGAGUACGGAAGAGGUAUGUGGAACUCCGAGUGUAGAGGUGAAAUUCGUAGAUAUUCGGAAGAACACCAGUGGCGAAGGCGACAUACUGGUCCGUUACUGACGCUGAGGCUCGAAAGCGUGGGGAGCAAACAGGAUUAGAUACCCUGGUAGUCCACGCCGUAAACGAUGAGUGCUAGUUGUCGGCAUGCAUGCAUGUCGGUGACGCAGCUAACGCAUUAAGCACUCCGCCUGGGGAGUACGGUCGCAAGAUUAAAACUCAAAGGAAUUGACGGGGGCCCGCACAAGCGGUGGAGCAUGU